UGACGUAGGGGGCAAGCGUUGUCCGGAUUUAUUGGGCGUAAAGAGCGUGUAGGCGGUCAGGUAGGUCGGUUGUGAAAACUGGAGGCUCAACCUUCAGAGGUCGACCGAAAACCCCCCUGGCUAGAGUCCGGGAGAGGAGAGUGGAAUUCCUGGUGUAGCGGUGGAAUGCGUAGAUAUCGGGAAGAAUACCGGUGGCGAAGGCGUUCCGCUGGGCCGUUGCUGACGCUGAGGCGCGACAGCGUGGGGAGCAAACAGG
rnacentral:rRNA from 1 species